rnacentral:misc_RNA from 1 species
UUAAGUUCAGCGGGUAUCCCUACCUGAUCCGAGGUCAAACGUUGAAAUAAGCUUUCUGGACGCCGGCUACUAUGGGCCAGAACGCAAAAUGUACUGCGCUCCAACACCUAAUUGCUGGCUGCCAAUUUAUUUAGGGCAAGUUUACAAAGCAAACAGUGCCCAACACCAAGCAUAAGCUUGAAGGUUUAAAUGACGCUCGA